rnacentral:rRNA from 1 species
AUUGAACGCUGGCGGCAGGCCUAACACAUGCAAGUAGAGAGAGCGGCGGACGGAUGAGGAAUGUAGGGGGACCGCCCGAUAGAGGGGGAUAACUACUGGAAACGGUAGCUAAUACCGCAUACUAUCGGAUAACCUAUAUGGGGUUAGCUAGUAGGUGAGGUAAUGGCUCACCUAGGCGACGACCCCUAGCUGGUCUGAGAGGAUGAUCAGCCACACUGGGACUCAGACACGGCCCAGACUCCUACGGAGGCAGCAGUGGGGAAUAUUGCACAAUGGGCGCAAGCCUGAUGCAGCCAUGCCGCGUGUAUGAAGAAGGCCCUAGGGUUGUAAAGUACUUUCAGUCGGUAGGCGUUACCGACAGAAGAAGCACCGGCUAACUCCGUGCCAGCAGCCGCGGUAAUUC